CCCCUGGAGGACUAGUGGUUAGGCUAUGGCACUCUCACCGCCGCAGCCCGGGUUCAAGUCCUAGCCAGGGAA